GGCCCUGUGGCCUAAUGGAUAAGGCGCUUCCCUCCGGAGGAAGAGAUUGUGGGUUCGAGUCCCAUCAGGGUCG